rnacentral:rRNA from 1 species
AGAGUUUGAUCCUGGCUCAGGAUGAACGCUGGCGGCGUGCUUAACACAUGCAAGUCGAACGAAGCACUUAAGAACGAUUCUUCGGAUGAAGUCUUUUGUGACUGAGUGGCGGACGGGUGAGUAACGCGUGGGUAACCUGCCUCACACAGGGGGAUAACAGUUGGAAACGACCGCUAAUACCGCAUAAGCCAACAGGGGCGCAUGCUCUGGUUGGAAAAGAUUUAUCGGCGUGAGAUGGACCCGCGUCUGAUUAGCCAGUUGGCAGGGUAACGGCCUACCAAAGCGACGACCAGUAGCCGGCCUGAGAGGGUGAACGGCCACAUUGGGACUGAGACACGGCCCAAACUCCUACGGGAGGCAGCAGUGGGGAAUAUUGCACAAUGGGGGAAACCCUGAUGCAGCGACGCCGCGUGAGUGAAGAAGUAUUUCGGUAUGUAAAGCUCUAUCAGCAGGGAAGAAAAUGACGGUACCUGACUAAGAAGCCCCGGCUAACUACGUGCCAGCAGCCGCGGUAAUACGUAGGGGGCAAGCGUUAUCCGGAUUUACUGGGUGUAAAGGGAGCGUAGACGGUGAUGCAAGUCAGAAGUGAAAGCCCGGGGCUCAACCCCGGCGAGCCGUUGAAACUGGCUGUCUUGAGAUGUCGAGAGGUAUGCGGAAUGCGCAGUGUAGCGGUGAAAUGCUUAGAUAUUGCGCAGAACUCCGAUUGCGAAGGCAGCAUACCGGCGGCGAUCUGACGCUGAGGCACGAAAGCGUGGGUAUCGAACAGGAUUAGAUACCCUGGUAGUCCACGCAGUAAACGAUGAAUACUGGCCUGUGUGGCCCGACCAGAGGGGCUGCGUGGGCGUAGCGAAAGCGUUAAGUAUUCCACCUGGGGAGUACGCCGGCAACGGUGAAACUCAAAGGAAUUGACGGGGGCCCGCACAAGCGGAGGAACAUGUGGUUUAAUUCGAUGAUACGCGAGGAACCUUACCCGGGCUCAAACGACACAAGAAUACUUUUGAAAGGAGGUAGCUCUUAGGAGCCUGUGUCGAGGUGCUGCAUGGUUGUCGUCAGCUCGUGCCGUGAGGUGUCGGCUUAAGUGUCAUAACGAGCGCAACCCCCAUCGCCAGUUACCAGCAAGUCAAGUUGGGGACUCUGGCGAGACUGCCGGCGCAAGCUGUGAGGAAGGCGGGGAUGACGUCAAAUCAGCACGGCCCUUACGUCCGGGGCGACACACGUGUUACAAUGGCAGGUACAGAGAGAAGCAAUGCGGCGACGCAAAGCGGAACUUGAAAGCCUGUCUCAGUUCGGAUUGGAGUCUGCAACUCGACUCCAUGAAGCUGGAUUCGCUAGUAAUCGCGCAUCAGCCAUGGCGCGGUGAAUACGUUACCGGGGCCUUGCACACACCGCCCGUCA